rnacentral:rRNA from 1 species
GACGAACGCUGGCGGCGUGCCUAAUACAUGCAAGUAGAACGCUGAAGAGAGGAGCUUGCUCUUCUUGGAUGAGUUGCGAACGGGUGAGUAACGCGUAGGUAACCUGCCUUGUAGCGGGGGAUAACUAUUGGAAACGAUAGCUAAUACCGCAUAACAAUGGAUGACACAUGUCAUUUAUUUGAAAGGGGCAAUUGUUCCACUACAAGAUGGACCUGCGUUGUAUUAGCUAGUAGGUGAGGUAAUGGCUCACCUAGGCGACGAUACAUAGCCGACCUGAGAGGGUGAUCGGCCACACUGGGACUGAGACACGGCCCAGACUCAUACGGGAGGCAGCAGUAGGGAAUCUUCGGCAAUGGGGGCAAGCCUGACCGAGCAACGCCGCGUGAGUGAAGAAGGUUUUCGGAUCGUAAAGCUCUGUUGUAAGUCAAGAACGGGUGUGAGAGUGGAAAGUUCACACUGUGACGGUAGCUUACCAGAAAGGGACGGCUAACUACGUG